UGUGUAGGCACGGGCCCAUGGGAGAGGAAAAUCAAAAGAGGAAAGGCGCAGGUGAGGCCCAUCCGUUUAUAUUCUCUUUUUCUUUUUCUUUUUUACAUAUAUUACACCGUCCGCCUCCCAAAAAUAGAACAAGACCAAGGAGUCAGCCACCACCGAUGUUCGUUGCCGAACCAGUAACACAAUCCAAUUCCUUUGUCGGAACCGAAGAGUACAUUGCACUUGAAAUUAUAACGGGGGCGGGACAUAGCAAUGCUAUCGAUUGAUAGGCCAUUGGCAUCUUAUUGUACGAGAUGCUAUACGGGCGGACGCCUUUUAGAGGAAAGAACAGGCAGAAGACAUUUGCCAACAUCUUGCACAAGGAUCUAACAUUCCCAAGUAGCAUUCCAGCAUGAACUUCAUCUAUAUGAGACAUUAAAGGAAAACAUACUUCCACCUGUUGAUGGGCUUAGUGUUCUCUCAACAUCAUCCAAUCUACUUCUUAACAUGCUAUGGAUUUUCGUCUUCUUCGACAGAAAGAUUUUUAGUGAAGUCUGACUAUGCUUCCCUUUGGACUUUCACAGCCAUCUUCCACCUAAAUAUGUUAAUUACUUGUUAUGCUCGGCAUUUGUUUUA